AGGAAAUUGAGAAGUUAUUAUUGAAGAGGAAUUCAGUGGCAUGUGGUUCUGAAGAGAUGAAAUGGAACAAGAAGUGCAACUCCCAUGCUACACUAUCUAAUCAGCCCUUGAUGGUUCAGAUUUCCCAAAGGAGAAGAAGGAGGUGCCAAAAAAGGAUGGGAGCAACAAAUGGAAUCAGUUUUCUUGACCCCAUGGGAGAAGUUAGAAGUGAUAUUCUCGGGAGUUCCCACCAACUGGUUUGAUGUAUGUUGGAACAGCUAGUUAACGUUUGUCUUGCCAGCUAGUUAAUGUACCCUCAGCGGCCGUGCUUGAUAGGAGGGGCCAGGGAAGUGCUUUAAGUCGUUCCAAGCAUGUGAGACAGUGUCAACUCUGUAAGGCAAGUCAAGGCGCUCCUGUUGCGGCAAGAUCCUUCAGCGGUGCAGGAGAUUAAGGGUUCCAUAAUCGAUUCCGCGCCUGUUGCUGUCCCCAAUUUUCAGAACUAUGCAGAACAGAAACAGGAGCAAUGAACGGAUGUCAUUGUUAACAUCUUCACAUGCGUGCAAAUCAGCCUACCGAGGAGUUUGCCGCCGCCGAUGCGCAGUCCGAAUACAGUCGCGUCAGUGUGGGCAACGACGUCUGAAAGAUUGAAGAGAAAGCAUGCACCUGUGUUGGCGAGGAGGUCGUCGUCGUGGAUGUCGCGGGCGUCGUCCUGGAUGUCGCGUCGUCGGCGUCGUCGGUGCGGGCGUCCUCGGCGCGGGCGUUUCGGUGGAGGGCAACUCUGAAGAGCGACAGGAGGAUUGGUCGCCGCUAAUUUUGGAGUGGAUGUGGCUGUUUCGGUGUGUUUUUUCUUUUCUUUUUGUUGGCGUUGGGUGAAGGACGGCAGAGUUUCG